GAGUGUGAUAAGGCUGUGAGGCCACUGCAACAUGCCAUCACCUGCGAUGUAUUUGACCGUUGGCAGCAUCGAGUCUGCGAUACAGGCAUCUCCAGAGAAGAUUUUUUUAAAGCCAGGAAAGAGUUAACCACAGUACAAUUCGUCUGCAAGCCCUGCAAUGUUACGAGGGACGGUUUGGUACCUAUUGAUGAUGGCAUCGCCGUUUGAACUUUUCUGCCGGUCGGUCAAUCCUGCAGUUUUACGUUUUGCUGAGUCUGCUGCUGAGGGAAUCCAAAAUGGUGAAGGUAACACAUCAACUGGUGUCGGAGGCAGCCCUUGGCCGUCAGCGUCGAGAGCGCUACAGAGACAUCGACGCCAUGAUCAUGGAUGAGUGGGACUCAUACGAUUCCCAUGAUUCACCUGCGAAGAGUUCCUGGAAAAUGUUGGUGCCAUCUACGGCGGCCGAUAGGUGUUUGGUCAAGACUGAUGUUAGG